AUAAAUAAUUGAGGGGUUUAUUUAAGAUCAAUCAUUAGUUGAAGGGUUUUAUUACUAAAUUCCCAAUCUUCUACUACAAUAUUUUUGAUUUUGACAGAACACGACGACGAAUUAAGCUUUUAUCUAUUACACUAGUUUAGGAAGCUGCACAGGUAAUAAUAAUUGGUGCACACGCGUCACUUCAACUGUGGUUGUUUUUACCACCUUCGAGAAUCAUCAUCCUCUCUUCCCCGAUCCCUAAACAAUGGUUAAACAAAUUAGUAUUAUAUAAAAACUUUCGAUUAUCGAGUGUAACACGACGUACCGUAACAAUUAGUAUAAAUCUACUUCCUCGGUUUAACAAUACACUCAUUUUUAUACAAACCAGUUCUUGUGUUAUGUAGCUUAAUCUAUAGAUAAGCUACUACUAAUAAGUAAACUUAGUAGUCUUUAACAUAAUUUUCUUGUUUAACAAUUCAUGCAUAUGUUUUCUUUAAAAGCUUUAAAUUAUAGAUAUCUAUCUAACCGAAUCAUAAGAAAUUUAUGAAACUAAAAAGAUUGGUGUGACUUAUAACUCACGUCUAUAUCAUUUUUCAUGUAUACUAUAUGAACCCACUAACUAACUACCAUUAAUUUAAUUAAAAUUAAAUAAUUUUCAAAAAUAGAAAAUUCAGCAAAUUGGACAACCUUUUUUCAUUAGGACUAAAAACUCACAAUAAUACACAAAUUUCAAAAUUAUAUUAAACACAGGAAUUUUAAAAGAAAAAUAUUAAAAAAACACUACUACUUGAAGAAUUAUUAUAAACAGAUAAGAAAAUAAAAAAUUUGGAGAUGAAAGAAAAAGACAAAAUAUAAACCGCUUAACCAAAUUCUUUUGGCAGAUAGUUGACUUUUUAUUUGUUUUCUCUAUAAAUCCCAAAAGCUUUAUAUACAUUUUUAUAUAUAUAUAAAAAUCUGAAUCAUCCUCAAAAACAAAUAAAAAGUCAAAUCCAUAAGAGAAAAAUACUCUCCUUUAGAGUUAGUACCGUUUCACAGAUCCGAUUUCUCCAAAGCUCUUAAGCUUUUUUUCACUUCUCCUUCCCUCCUUUUGAAUCGCCUCUUUAUUUUCCAGGAAAAUCAAAAAA
rnacentral:lncRNA from 1 species